rnacentral:miRNA from 1 species
AUGUAGGAUUCUAAGCCACU